rnacentral:rRNA from 1 species
CAGCAGCCGCCGCGGUAAUACGAAGGGGGCUAGCGUUGCUCGGAAUCGCUGGGCGUAAAGGGUGCGUAGGCGGGUCUUUAAGUCAGGGGUGAAAUCCUGGAGCUCAACUCCAGAACUGCCUUUGAUACUGAAGAUCUUGAGUUCGGGAGAGGUGAGUGGAACUGCGAGUGUAGAGGUGAAAUUCGUAGAUAUUCGCAAGAACACCAGUGGCGAAGGCGGCUCACUGGCCCGAUACUGACGCUGAGGCACGAAAGCGUGGGGAGCAAACAGGAUUAGAUACCCCGGUAGUCCCUGUCUCUUAUAC